rnacentral:rRNA from 1 species
AUGGAGCGCAAGCUGGACGACCAUCUCCUCCUUAGGGUUGUGUGGGAUGACCUCGGGGUCGAUGGAUCUGGAGGUGAAGGACUUAGAUCCGCUACCCGUCAUGUCAAAGAAGUCCGGAACUCACCGGACGGGAGCUUGGGUGGCGGGGGGAGGAAGGAGUGGAGUGAAGUGACUAGGGUUUGGCCUGGUGAGCGGAUGGGAAGGAAUAUAUGUGGAGUCGGGUGGGCCAAUGGGCCAGGUCCAACAUGGCGGACGUGCCCAGGCGCCCUCAUAUUCACCCCAUAUUUGGGCUGGAUACGAGGGGUGUCGGUUCACCCGGACGUUUGA